AGAGUUUGAUCCUGGCUCAGAACGAACGCUGGCGGCGUGCCUAACACAUGCAAGUCGAACGGAGAUAAGGGGCUUGCUCCUUAUUUUAGUGGCGCACGGGUGAGUAACGCGUGGAUAAUCUACCUUGGAAUCUGGGAUAACAUUUCGAAAGGGGUGCUAAUACCGGAUAAGACCACGAGCUCUUUGGAGUUUGCGGUAAAAGGGGGCCUCUGUAUAUGCUUCUGUUUCAAGAUGAGUCCGCGUACCAUUAGCUAGUUGGCAGGGUAAUGGCCUACCAAGGCGACGAUGGUUAGCUGGUCUGAGAGGAUGAUCAGCCACACUGGAACUGAGACACGGUCCAGACUCCUACGGGAGGCAGCAGUGGGGAAUUUUGCGCAAUGGGGGAAACCCUGACGCAGCAACGCCGCGUGAGUGAUGAAGGCCUUCGGGUCGUAAAGCUCUGUCAGAGGGAAAGAAGUGUA
rnacentral:rRNA from 1 species